UACGGAGGGUGCAAGCGUUAAUCGGAAUUACUGGGCGUAAAGCGUGCGCAGGCGGUUUGUUAAGUCCGUUGUAAAAGCCCCGAGCUCAACUUGGGAAUUGCAGUGGAUACUGGCAAGCUGGAGUAUGGUAGAGGAAGGUGGAAUUCCCGGUGUAGCAGUGAAAUGCAUAGAGAUCGGGAGGAACACCAGUGGCGAAGGCGGCCUUCUGGACCAAUACUGACGCUCAUGCACGAAAGCGUGGGGAGCAAACAGG
rnacentral:rRNA from 1 species